CGAGCGGCCGCCGCCGCCGCCGUGGGCUGGUUCCGUUAGUGGUCGUGGUUCCGGGGCUCGGUCCACAGGGAGCGCGCGGCCCCGCGCGCCCGGCUCGAGCGACGGCGCUGGUUCGAGGGCUCCCCGCGCGGCGCCGGGGCUUUGCUUCCUGCGAUCGCCCCCCGCCUCCCCGCUCCCUGUCAGCGCCGCCGCUGGCUUUUCCAGACCCCUUGCGCCGGCGAAGCCCGAGUCUCCGGACCUGGUCCUGGCGCUCUGGCCCCCGGUGUGUCACUGGCGGCACGUUGCGUCGCAGGGCUCACAUUCUUGAGCGUGUUUUCCCUGGUGUGAAAGUCGUCCUGUUAAUAGUGGGGAGCAGCAUCCUGAAAGAUCAAAGCCUCGGCCUCGACCUGGCGGAUGAGAGAGAUCGAAUCAGGUGGCCGUGUCUUGCCAUAAGAGUGCCAUGCUGUACGACUUUAAGGCUUUCUAGCCUUUUUUUUUUUUUUUUAAAAACAAUGUUUUCUUUUACAGUGAAAGAAAAGCACAAGAAGUAA
rnacentral:lncRNA from 1 species